GCGCCUAUAGCUCAAUUGGAUAGAGCGUUUGCCUUCGAAGCAAAAGGUUCCAGGUUCGAGUCCUGGUAGGCGCG
rnacentral:tRNA from 1 species